CACCUAGGAACCGAGCGUUAUCCGAAGUUACUGGGCGUCAAGCGCGUGUAGGUGGCUCGAAAAGUUGGGUGUGAAAGCUCCUGGCUCAACUAGGAGAGGCCGCUCAAAACUGUCGGGCUUGAGGACGGUAGAGGGAGGUGGAAUUCCCGGUGUAGUGGUGAAUUGCGUAGAUAUCGGGAGGAACACCAGUGGCGAAGGCGGGCUCCUGGACCGUUUGUGCCACUGAGACGCGAGAGCUAGGGGAGCGAGCGGG
rnacentral:rRNA from 1 species